rnacentral:misc_RNA from 1 species
AUAAAAAUUGAAUACGCCUAAGGCUUGUCUGAUGUCUUAGGAAUUGAGUAUAUGAAAACCGUACUGAAUAAGGCGCGAGUAAUGAGUUAGGCAAAGCGGUAGCCCUGUGUAAUGUCACUGAAAGCAAGUUUCAAACGCUCCCCCAUCAUAGGCAAAGUUAAAUAAGAAGUUACCGCUUGGGUGUUCAUCAUAGCCGAAUUGAUGUGAGGACUGAUUGAGUUACUAGCGCUGACAUAUUAAUUAGUUCAAGAGGGGGGGAUAAAAACUGCGUUUGCGUGGAUAGUUAUACCCUUUAGCAAGGUAACCA